rnacentral:rRNA from 1 species
UGGAGGGGUAACGGCCCACCAAGCCUAUGAUCGGUAGCCGACCUGAGAGGGUGAUCGGCCACAUUGGAACUGAGAUACGGUCCAAACUCCUAAGGGAGGCAGCAGUGGGGAAUAUUGGGCAAUGGGGGAAACCCUGACCCAGCAACGCCGCGUGAAGGAAGAAGGUUUUCGGAUUGUAAACUUCUGUCCUUGGUGAAGAGAAGAAGACGGUAGCCAAGGAGGAAGCCCCGGCUAACUACGUGCCAGCAGCCGCGGUAAUACGUAGGGGGCAAGCGUUGUCCGGAAUGAUUGGGCGUAAAGGGCGCGUAGGCGGCUUUAUAAGUCUGGAGUGAAAGUCCUCUUUUCAAGGGAGGAAUUGCUUUGGAAACUAUAGAGCUUGAGUGCAGGAGAGGUUAUCGGAAUUCCCGGUGUAGCGGUGAAAUGCGUAGAUAUCGGGAGGAACAUCGGUGGCGAAGGCGGGUAACUGGACUGCAACUGACGCUGAGGCGCGAAAGUGUGGGGAGCAAACAGGAUUAGAUACCCUGGUAGUCCACACGGUAAACGAUGAAUGCUAGGUGUAGGAGGUAUCGACCCCUUCUGUGCCGCAG